rnacentral:lncRNA from 1 species
ACUAAGGAGAAUUCCCUCAAGGGAGGGAGUGGUCCCAGAAGGAAGCAGAUGAGCCCGUGAUGUGAGUAUAAGCAACGGCCUGGGAGCCUGAUAUAUUUAGCUUGGGGUUCGAGUGGGGCAGCAAAGAAAGUUUCUGGAGAUCUCCAAGCCAAAGGGGACUAUACAGCUGAGGCCUGGGCAGCUACCCCUAUUAAUGUUUUUAAUGAAUCCCGUGUUUGCUGAAUCCAACUGGGCUGGAAGUUGCAGCGAGUGGCAUUUUUUUUUUUUUUAAAUGUGGUCCUUAAGACAGCAGCCUCAGAGCACUGUCUGGUAACUGAUUAAAAAUGCAAAGCUCUCGGGCUUUACCCUUGAAUUUCCUCAGCAACCCUGAAGAUGGACUCCCUAUGUUUGCUGCCUUAAAUCCUCCAGAUGGUCCAGUGACUCUGAUAGGAGCUCAAGGUUUUGCCCUCUCUAAACACAAGCACUCAAAUAGAAUUAAGCAAAAUAUGAAUGUCACUCCCAAUACUCCACCACACACACACACACGCACGCACGCACGCACGCACGCACGCACGCACGCGCGCACAUGCACAAUACACAAUGAGAAUGUAGGUCCAUGUUCCACAGUGAUAGAGUGUUGUUAGCUCACUAAAACUGAAGCUCUUCUUCUAUGUCGUCUUGGCAUUCUCUGGGUAUCCAAAAAGGUGCAUGGCCCAGGGAGUUUGCACCCACUUCCUUAGGCACCUUUGGAGUCUGACAACCUUCUUAAGUACCUGCUGUGAGGAUGGAAACACCAAGACACCCCUCCCCACCCCUUAUUCUGCGAGGCCAGUAACAGCCUGUGGCUCUGUGCCUCAUUUCUCUGUGACAAUCAAAAACAGGAUCUUGGUCUGCUUAAUGGGUCCCCAAGGGGACCCCAAAGUUUCCAGUUGUGAGUCUCUGGACAAACGGAAGAAAUAGAGAGUGAAAACAAGCACCGGCCCUUAUUUCCCUAACUUGCCAAUUGCAAACAGAAUUUCGUUUUAUAAACCAUGAAAUGAUUCACAGAGGUCUGUGUAUUAUUCCAAAGCACAGCUGGCUAAUGUAAAAGAAUCAUUUCCCUUGGUCCACUGGGCCACAUACAAUUCCCAAGCAUGCCAAUUUGUAUUUGUUUAUCUCGCUUUGUGAGUCAAUGUAUUGGGACUCCAAUACAAGGACAGUGUUAAAAAAAUAUGCAGGAGAGGUGAGCAAUCUUACACACUUCCCUUAUCUCCGCAGCCUAACUCAGCUCAUCAUCUAUACCGAGAGGUGGCUUCGAUAGUUUGUAAAGCAGUACUUCCAGGUUGUUCCAGAACCUUCUAAGUUUCUUCAGCCUCUUAAGUCUUCUGAGCACCCCUCCCCCACCUCCAGGAACUCGUCUCAGUUUGGAGGAGGUGGCUACAUAAUAGAACAUUCAUCCACAUUAGUAACAUUUAAAGGCGUUAACUCUUAGAAUACCCUAUUUUCUCCCCCACAGACAUUCCUAAUCAUAGAGGCUUUAAGGCAAGUUCGGACUUAGUGGGAAGGGAGGGACUCAGUACUGCCUAUGAAGUAGCUUUCAUUGGGCCCUUCUCUGUGUUCCAUUCGUAAGAGCUCGCCUUCUUUUUGUAAUAAUUGCUUUUCUUUUCAUAUGACAUAGUACUGACAAAAGCCACCUGAGGCAGGAAGGGCUGGAUGGGGUUUAUAGCUUUAAGGUAUAGUGCAUGCUGGGAGGGAAGCUUGGUGCCAACAGGAGAACGAGGCAAAUCUGAGAUAAAAGCAGACCUACUCACUGCCCAAAUUCACUUGUAUCCUGGCCUUGGAUCCUGGCUGUGGCUUUCCUAUUCGUAGCAUAAUGAGGGUGAAAAUGUUGACAAUCAGAUGAAUUCUGAAGAGAUCUUUUGCCGAGAUGGAUGGCAAAAAUAACCUUCAGCAUUUUUAGCUCCAUACAAAAAAUGCAGCAGCAUCUACAAAGAAGGGAAAUCUUUUCUGUUAACUUUUAUUCACCUUCAUUUAAUUUUUAAAUAUGUAGUAAACAUGAUUGUGGGGCUUCUCAUUAGCCAGGGUAUCUUACAGUCAUAAUUUUUGAUACAGAACAUUACUUACCAAUUAGCCUGUCUUGUUCUUUUAAAUUUCUUUGCUCAUAUUUUAAUGGGAGCUAAUGAUGCCUUUGUUGACUUAUUUAAUGUUAUGUAAAUGUGGCUAUAAAGUGUGAAGGGUUUAAGCAGAAGCCCUGAUUUUGCUUACUCUUCAGAUUUUGGAGUGUGUAGAAUCCCCAGGAAACACACAUAUCACCACAAUGGAUGGAAGUGGCAGAGGAGGCCAAAUAAUAACACUAAUUCCAAAAGCGAGCAGUAAGAGGUGUUCAGAGGAGAGGAGAAGGAGGCAGCAUUUCUCUGGCUCUGGGUUAAUUGUUCUUGUGGUAUCAAAGGACUUUCAAAGUUAACUUUCUGCUCUUUGUUUUUUUGUUUGUUUGUUUGUUUGUUUUUUGUUUUUGUUUUCUGUUGGUGGUGGUGGUGAUGGCUCUACAUAGUAUAGUGUAAUGCCUUAUUCAAAGCUCAGGUCAGCACAGUUGGGCUUAGCAGUGUCUCUCAUGCUGGGUCUUAUUAGCCCUGUAUUUGACAGACUCCAUUUUUCCUUAUGAGUAGCUCAUAAAAAUUUCAAUGAGUGGAUGAGGGAAUAAAUGAAUGAAAGCGAUGCCAUGUCAACAUCCACGUUGUGAGCUGCUUCUCGGCACUCUAGCAGUUGCUCUUCGAGGAGCAGGUCCACUUCCCAGUCCAGCCACUCACAUCCUGGUCAUGAACUUCAAAACCAGCAAUAACCAAAUGCUAACUUAGUUCCAUUUCAUUCAGUUCAUUUUUCCUCUCUCUCUCUCUCUCUCUCUCUCUCUCUCUCUCUCAUCAUUGCCUACCUUAUUUUCUUCCCCUAGCACCAUCUUCCACCAUCUUUCUACCACACUUCCACUCGCACCCAGUGGUCUGAAAGUUCUUAUCCUUUAUCACCUACAAGUCCUCUCUUCCUCCCUACCCAGCUUCAGUUCCAUAUUAAGUCAUCGUCAUGGCUCACACGUGGCGGGCAUACUUGAAUACUUGGUUCUGUUUAAACUACAGCCUUGGUUGAAUGCCCUUCUUUCCUCUCCUAUACUCACAUCAUUGCACCGAAGGCAGGCAGUGAGAGUGUCUCUCUGGGUUGGAUGGACAGACAAAGAUCAGAACAAAUGUCCAUUAAUCCUUCUGCUUCCAGAUAAAUUCUGUUCUCCUUGAUCACGUGUUAUAGUCGUAAGGUCCUGUGUGCCUCUUCUCAAAUUUGUAGCUAGGCAGAAUACAAUUCCAGCACUCAGGAGGCAGAGGCAGGCUCAUCUCUAAGCUUAAGGCCAACCUGAUCUGCAUAGUGACUUCCUGGAUAGCCAGAGCUACACGAAGAAACCUUGUCUUGAGAAAAAGAAAAAGAAUGUCACCUUUUAUAGGAGUAGGCCAGUUAUGAAUGUGAUUAAUGAAGUUAAAGUCACUGAGUCCUAACCCAAUAAGCCCAGUGUUGUUAUAAUAGGAAAAAUUUGUGCAUAGCCACAUGUACUCAGAGAAUAUCAUGUGAAGUUUAAGUCGGGUCUGGAGAAAAUACUUCUAAAGCUAAGAAGUGCAGAAGGUGCCCAGGCAACCAACAGUCUCUAGAAGAAAGGUCUAAAACAGAUGCUUCUCAGAGCCCUUGGAAGAAACCACCAUUCCUUCCAACACCUUGAACUCUUGGCUUCUACAUUCCACAACUAGGAGACAAUCUAAUUUGGUUACUUUAACCAACCAAAUUCAUGCAUGCCUUGCUAUGCAAACAAUUACAUGCUCCAAACCUACCUUCUUGACUUCUCACAACCCUCAGCAUCUCUUCCCAGUGCUCACUGUGGAGUGCUGGCCAAUUUCAUCCUUC